AUGCUGUCUUCAGCAGCACAUAUACUAAAACUGGAACAGUACAGAGAAGAUUAGCAUGGCCCCUGAACAAGGAUGAGACACAAAUCCAUGAAGUGUUUAAAAAAAAA